UACGUAGGGACCGAGCGUUGUCCGGAAUCAUUGGGCGUAAAGGGUGCGUAGGUGGCGCUGUAAGUCGGGUGUGAAAUUUCGGAGCUUAACUCCGAAACUGCAUUCGAUACUGCGGUGCUUGAGGACUGGAGAGGAGACUGGAAUUUAUGGUGUAGCAGUGAAAUGCGUAGAGAUCAUAAGGAAGACCAGUGGCGAAGGCGGGUCUCUGGACAGUUCCUGACACUGAGGCACGAAGGCCAGGGGAGCAAACGGG
rnacentral:rRNA from 1 species